rnacentral:lncRNA from 1 species
GGGAUUUAGGUGGAAUUUGUGGAAAUUGGACAUUUUGUGCGGAAAUUGGGAGGCUUUAGGCGGGAUUCGAAAGGAUGUAGGGCGAAAAUAAGCGAUAUAAGGGAAAAUUUGGUGGAUUUAAGGCAGAAUUUGGCUGAUUGAAUGUAGAUUUAGCCAUUUUGAGGCGGAUCGCCGCCAUUUUGGGACCGAGCGGGCGGGCGGUCGUGAGGAGGGAGGGAGGGAGGGGGCGUGGCCACGCGUUAACCCCGCCCCCUCCAUUUAACACCACGGCCCCGCCCCCCUCCGGCGCCGCACUGCGCCGGGCCGAGCGGCUCCGGAAAGAGCCGAAGGUUUCCGAACCCUCCCCGAGCCCCUCCCGAACCCUUCCGAACCCUUCCGAACCUUUCCGAACCCUCCCGAACCCUCCCCGAGCCCCUCCCGAACCCCUCCGAACCCUUCCGAACCUUUCCGAACCCUCCCGAACCCUCCCCGAGCCCCUCCCGGCCCCCGAAGGCUUCCGAAGAGCCCCGAAAGGAGCCGAAGCGGCCCCGAGCCCCCCCCGCGGCCAUGCCGUGAAGCCCCCUCCUCACCCCGGGCCCUCAGCAGCCUCCGGGACCCCCCCCCCCGUUCCCUCCUCCCCCCCCGCGGGCACCGGGAUCCGGCGGGGGAGGGGCUCAUGGCCGGGGCAGGGGGCUGAGGGGGGGCGGCGGGGCGGGAAGGGCCGAAAGGAGCCGAAGAGACCCGAAAGGAGCCGAACCCGGCCCGAAGAGACCCGAACCCGGCCCGAGCCGGGCCCGGCCCCGCCAUGGCCCUCAGCGGCCUCUCGCUGCUCCUCGGCCUCCUCAUGGCUUCGGGGGCGCAGGGGGGCUGCGUGGAGGUGGAUUCGGAGACGGAGGCGGUGCUGGGGCUGCCCUUCAAGCUGCUGUGCAUCGCCUGCAAGCGCCGCAGCGAGACCCCCGCCGAGGCCGAGGGCGAGUGGUUCUUCCGCCCCGAGGGCGCCCCCGACUUCACCAAGGUAUGGGGGGGACGCUUAUAGGGCCGGGGGGGGCGCUUAUAGGGUCGGGGGGGUGUUUG